GAUUAACCAAGCAGGACCAUCCAUGUACCAUUGCUACGUGGUGCAGACUUAGUGUCACCUAAACCCAAUGACACUAGGGUAACGGUCCUUUACAAUCCCUCAUGUUUAUCAAACCAUCAAAUGUAUAUUUCAAAACACAAUCCAUCAACAAUUCAAAUAUCCAAGUCAUAUAAUGUUUCAUAAGUAGAUUGAUGACAACUUUAUAACAACAAUUAUUUAGCAUAAGAUCUAUUUUAAGAAUUCAUGGUGUAACCACAAAGUAUAUUAGUAUGGAAGAUUUCAAAGUAAUAACCAUAUCACAUAGAUUAAAAUCAUUCACCUGAGGUCCACACUAACGCACUCUAGCAUGGAAUUCAAGGCAUCAAGCUUUAUCACCGCCUAAAACAAAGCACAAUUCCAUAUUUAGGUUUCUCUCGAUAAAUUCACAUACCCAAAACUCUCAUAAGUCUCCCACAACGACAUUUAAUGAGAAUCAAACCGUCGAUCAAAGGUAUGGUCCAUGAUCUUACAUCACUUGCUCCAUAAGAUCCAACCACUAGAUUUUCACUAGUAAGUCCCUAUGGUCCUUAACAAUAUCUACAAUAGCAUACUAAAAUUUGGUGUCAAUUCAAUGGUAAGAUCGUCAAUUGUUAAAAUAUUCAAGUGG
rnacentral:lncRNA from 1 species